GACGAACGCUGGCGGCGUGCUUAACACAUGCAAGUCGAACGGAAAGGCCCUGCUUUUGUGGGGUGCUCGAGUGGCGAACGGGUGAGUAACACGUGAGUAACCUGCCCUUGACUUUGGGAUAACUUCAGGAAACUGGGGCUAAUACCGGAUAGGAGCUCCUACUGCAUGGUGGGGGUUGGAAAGUUUCGGCGGUUGGGGAUGGACUCGCGGCUUAUCAGCUUGUUGGUGGGGUAGUGGCUUACCAAGGCUUUGACGGGUAGCCGGCCUGAGAGGGUGACCGGCCACAUUGGGACUGAGAUGCGGCCCAGACUCCUACGGGAGGCAGCAGUGGGGAAUAUUGCACAAUGGGCGGAAGCCUGAUGCAGCAACGCCGCGUGCGAGAUGACGGCCUUCGGGUUGUAACCCGCUUUCGCCUGUGACGAAGCGUGAGUGACGGUAAUGGGUAAAGAAGCACCGGCUAACUACGUG
rnacentral:rRNA from 1 species